GAAUGGUCUAGAAUCGAUCUUCGGCUAUGACAGAGAUCUGUCUCAAUAUUUUUCGAAUCGAGCAUGUCGCAUGCCUACUUGCCAUAAUGUCUUCCGGAUCGAGCUGAGGCUAUGAUAGUGUUCACGAGUUAUCAUGGUGUAUAAAAAAAAAAAAAAAAAAAAAGAGGCGUAGUGUAUUUAUUUUUUGUCUCGUGUACUUAUCUGCUGUUGGUCGUCGUAGUAACAAUGAAAAGAGUUGAGAUUUUCAUCUGACACAAAUGCCAUGAACCUCUCUCUCUAUAGUAUCAUCUCUCUCUCUCCCUCCAUCCCAAAACGAUGUCGUUAUUGCCUUCUCAUUUCUCGCCGACUCUCCUCCUCUCCUCCCCGUCGCCGCCACUUCCGCCGCCGUCUCCUCCAUAAAAAGUUCACCAUUGAAGAAGCUCCACCGUCCGAUCAAAAUCUCCAAUUCAUCCUUACCGUCGAUAAUUUGCCUACCAAAUCCUUAUACUCAUUCAAGGACCUUCUUCACUCCAAGCUCGAUGAAUUCGUCCACUCAGGCCGAGCUGCCAUUGACGACUUGCAAACUCUCAUCCGUAUUGAUAGUAAUGACGGCAGACUUCUCUUCUCCUGCAGAAGGACCACUGUUAAAUUCGUAGGAACUCUAUUACUCACCAGUUUCUUAGUUAUUUUCACUCUUAGAACUAUUUUUAAGCUAGUGCUGGGGUUACGACACAACACCCGAAACAACAAUGUUGAAUUAGUGUAUAAAAGAGACCGUAGUUUGGGUGGAAGAGAAGUACUUGUUGCUAAAAAUGAGAUCACGGUUGAUAGGAAGAAACCUAAUGUGUUGGAUGGUGAUGACGUGAACAGUAAUUGGGGUUGGGCCAGUCGAAUUAGGAGGCGAAAGAAGAAGAGUUCGGUGGAGCAGUUGCCGAAAUGGUGGCCUGUUUCGAGUUCUGGUUCGGAUCAAGUUGGGGCAGAGAAUCAAGAAGAGUAUCAGAGAAUGGCCAAUAGAUUGAUUCGAGCCAUCUUGGACAAUAGAAUGACAGGGAGGGACAUUUUGGCGGAUGACAUUAUUCAAUUACGGCGCAUAGGGAGGAUAUCAAACGUGAAAGUUUCAUUUGAUACUGAGAAUGCACGUGAUACCCUUUAUCGCGUGGCAGUCGACUUUGUUCUUAAUUAUUGUGAAAGCACUGCAAGUCAGUCAGCUUUUGUUCUAAUUGAUGGCGAGGAAGCACAAAAGUUCGUUGCUGGGCUUGCUGAUAAUGUUGGACUUGAGAGUACUCGGGCUGCAAGAAUGGUGUCUGCAGCUGUUGCCGCACGUACUAGGUCAAGGUUCUUGCAAGCUUGGGCCUUGGAAAUACAAGGAAAACAUUCUGAAGCUGUGGUGGAACUGUUUAAAGUCUGUGUCAUUCACCAGAUAUUUCCUCCUGAAGAGUUUUCGCCUGAGAUGGAGAUGGUGGCUCGUGGACUUGAGAAACAUUUAAAACUAGACCAACGGGAGUUCCUAAUGAACACUCUUCUGCGUGUGUGUGGUGAUGAGACCAGGAGAAGUGUGGCAGAAGCAUUGGGUCUGGUAUGCCUAGUUUAUUACUCCCCUUCCCUAUCUAGUAGAUCUUGAAUUUGUUGUUCAUUGUUGUUGUGCUUAGACGUGAGUGACGUUUCCAAUCUCGAAGUGGCAACUCCUGUCAAUUUCACCUGUUCUUGUGCUAUGCGAGAGAAUUUUUCCUAGAGCUGUGUAAAAUAGAUCUUAACAAGCAGUGUGGAGAAGCAUCAAUUCUAUCCUCAGUUUGUACUCUGUGCUCUUGUAGAUUCCAAGAAAAUUAACCUGCUCUAAUUUGGGCCUCUUAUCAAAAAUAAUUUUCUACUCUCUUCAGUCCUCUCCUUGAGGCUUGAGCAAGAAAAUGUGGAAGUUUUUCUUUCCCAGUUGGUUUUGGUGUUUAGUUGCACAUUACUAAUAGUUGGAAAAGAGUUCGAUUCUGGAUGUGACGGUGUCUUGUGGCUUGUGGCGUGGCUGUUGAGAAGUGGUGGAGCCUUCUUAUGCUAAGGGGUGUCAAUUGACACUCCUUCCUCAGAAAAUUAUGCUGUUUUUUUUACAUGUCUACCGUUUAUAUUUUGACAUCGCUCAACAAAAUUCUUUGCUCCGCUACUGCUGGAAGCAUUGUAGUUACUGUAAUAAAAAGAGUGAUCAUUUAGAAGAAUAUCCAACUGAUCUGCACACUUAAUCUCACUCUAUUUUCUGAGGAGAAGAAUGAAUCAACCAAAUGUCGGAGGCUCUUAUUCUGGUGAACUUCCAGAAAAUAUUUCCUUGGGACUAAAAUGAGUAUUUUCUGAGAUUUCAAAAUUCAAAGAAAAGACUGAACAUUUUAGCAAAUACUAGAGAGUUUAAGGAAUGGAAAACUACAAAGGCCCUGAAGAUUACGUUUACACUCGAGUUAGAGCUCCAAAGAGCUAUGGAUCUUUUCACAUUAUGCAAGUGACUUGGUAGAUUCAUGGAAGCAUCAUUCCUUUUGUGUCUACUCCCAUGUCUUUUUGUUCUUUUCAAGCAACCGGAGUUCAUAAAGAGUCCUAAAUUCUUAAAUCAACACAGAUUUCAUCCACACUUCCCCAAUCUCUGGGAAGUUCCUUCAUUCUAUUAUCCCCAACGCCAGCAGCGCGAUAAAGCAUCUUAUUACCAUGGAUAUUGGAGUACUGUUGGAUCUUCUGUGAGAGUUUGUAGACAUAUCUGAGCCAAGUCCAGCUAGAGCUGGGACAGUCUUGGGCUACUGAUCUUGAUUGUGCAAUGCUUAUUGCCAGGGUUAUCUGCUAUUAUAAUUGCUCGCGUUAUCCUUUAAAAUAUAAUGUGGUCUUAUUUAACCUCAUGGUACUAAUUAUAUCUGCCAUUUACUUGCUUCGCAGAUUUGUAAAUUGAUAUUGCAGUUUCUCCCUUGCCCUUUAUUUGUUGUUUUUUCUGGUUCUUGAUGAUUUAUUUUCACUUGUUCUCUUCUGCAGAUGUACUUGAAGGAUAACAUCGUUCAUCAACAAGAGAACAAAUAUACGUAGAUCAGAAACUGAAUUGUGUACUAUUGCUGCGUACAGGAAUUGAUUUUUAAAGAUGAAUAAAGUUUCAUACUCAAAAGGACAUUGGUCUACAACUAGUACUACCUGUAUCCAGUUAACCUUCCAAAAUGCUUCGAGUGGAUUAAUUAUUGAAUGUAUCAUGUAAAAGAUGAGCCCUAAGAAGAACUUAUAUUCUCUUAGAGAAUCUCCGAUUUAUGUUGGCCGGUGUUGUACACGAGCACGAUAGGUUUAUAAAAUCACUUGAACUACUAUUUACCUAUUUUUAA